AUUGAACGCUGGCGGCAGGCCUAACACAUGCAAGUCGAACGAGUGGCGGACGGGUGAGUAAUGUCUGGGAAACUACCUGAUGGAGGGGGAUAACUACUGGAAACGGUAGCUAAUACCGCAUACCAUCGGAUGUGCCCAGGUGGGAUUAGGUAGUCGGUGGGGUAAAGGCUCACCUAGGCGACGAUCCCUAGCUGGUCUGAGAGGAUGACCAGCCACACUGGAACGGAGCCACGGUCCAGACUCCUACGGGAGGCAGCAGUGGGGAAUAUUGGACAAUGGGGGAAAGCCUGAGGCAGCCAUGCCGCGUGUAUGAAGAAGGCCUUCGGGUUGUAAAGUACUUUCAGUGGGGAGGCGUUACCCGCAGAAGAAGCACCGGCUAACUCCGUGCCAGCAGCCGCGGUAAUAC
rnacentral:rRNA from 1 species